UGAAAUUAUCAUUCAUAAUAUGAUGACUUAAUCGAGUCUCUCUGUCAAGUGGUCAGAUUAGUCAGUCAAAGUUGGGUCUGAUUAUUUGAUAGUUAGAUUCGUAAGUGUGAUCAUGUUAAUGGUUAGAUCUAACCAGGGCUUGCAGAGAAGACCAAAGUCAACUGAAAAGUUAUCUGAGACUAAAUCAAUUACUAAAAAUUAUUUGAUGAAAUAAUUGAUUAAGAACCUACCUAUAGAUGUACAUGGGUGAGCUGACCAA
rnacentral:lncRNA from 1 species